rnacentral:tRNA from 1 species
UGCGCGGUAGAGCAGUUGGUUAGCUCGCGAGUCUCAUAAACUCGAGGUCGGUGGUUCGAAUCCACCCUGCGCAC